AGCCUCCUGACAUAUAAUAGGAAGUGAAGCCUGCCCAGUGACCUACGGGUUAAACGGCCGCGGUACCCUGACCGUGCUAAGGUAGCAUAUAAUAUACCCUUUAAUUGUGGGAUGGUAUGAAAGGACAAACGAAGGUAAGACUGUUUCCUAAAUAUAUAUAAAAACUAUUCUUUAGGUGAAGAAACCUAAAUAAUAUUAAAAGACAAGAAGACCCUGUAGAGCUUUACCUAAACAAACAUAGAAAAAAAACCUGAGUAUUUUUUUCUAUGCGACAGAUAUGGUUUAACUGGGGCGGUUGGAGAAUAAUAAACUUCUACCUUAAAAAUAAGGUAAACUCACCAAUUAAUUAAACAAAUUUAAAUUUAAAGAAAUAAGCUACCUCAGGGAUAACAGACUAAUCCUUCCUGAGAGUACCCAUUGAAGGAAGGGGUUGGCACCUCGAUGUUGGCUUAGGGCAUCCCAGGGGUAGUAGCAGCCCCUAAAGGUAGGUUUGUUCAACCUUUAAAGCCCU
rnacentral:rRNA from 1 species